UUGAAAUUACCGGUGAAGGUUGUAGCUGGCCUUUCGGGGCACGUGCACGCCUGAGCCUUUAAUCCAACAUACACCUGUGAACCCAAUGUAAGGGCCCGUAAAAAGGCCCCUAUGUCUUUAUCACCAACUCUGUAUUCAUAGAAUGUAAUCCAUAUCUUCGCCUUAACAAGCGUUGGUAAACUUAUA
rnacentral:misc_RNA from 1 species